rnacentral:tRNA from 1 species
AAUAAAGUAAGCUAAGAUUAAAGCUAUUGGGCUCAUACCCCAAAUAUGGAUUUUAAUCCCUUUAUUA